rnacentral:rRNA from 1 species
GAUGAACGCUGGCGGCGUGCCUAAUACAUGCAAGUCGAGCGAACAGACGCGGAGCUUGCUCCUCUCACGUUAGCGGCGGGCGGGUGAGUAACGCGUGGAUCACCUCCCUAUAAGACUGGGAUAACUUCGGGACACCGGAGCUAAUACCGGAUAAUAUCUUGCACCGCGUGGUUCAAUAGUGAAAGACGGUGUUGCUGUAACUUCUAGAUGGAUCCGGGCCGUAUUAGCUAGUUGGUAGGGUAACGGCCUACCAAGGCUACGAUGCGUAGCCGACCGGUGAGGGUGAUAGCCCGCACGGGAAGUGAGACGCGCUCAAUAGUCCUGCGGGAGGCAGCAGUAGGGAAUCGGACGCAAUGGUGGGAAGCCUUACGGAGCAAGGCGGAGCGAGUGACGACGGCGUUGGGAUCGUAAUACCCUCCUACGAGGGAUGAACAAAUUUCGAAUGAGCCAUGGAGUUAUUGACGGUAACGAAUCAGAAAGCCCCGGCUAACUACGUG